UCUAUGCUAGCGCCUAAUGGAAUACCCUAAAAACUAAGCCAAGCUGAGUCUAGCUGAGCUGAUGUCAGUAGACAGACGGGAAACACAGCAGAGAGAGGGGAUGAUCUGCAGCAAAAGGCCCAAACUGGAAUCAAACCUUGGCCAGCGUGACAUGUGGUGCAUGUAGUACCAGGAGGAUGUUGGUCCUGUCAGUCCUAUCUUCUGACCUGCCAGUGGUUCAGAUGGACUUAAUCAACUACUUUGCUGUCCUACCAAUCUACCUGUCUGAUCAGAAACCAGUCUUGUCAAGGAUAAAUAGAGAGAGGAUCCUGCAAUUCCACAGCAAACACCUGAUGACUAACCGGGGUACUCAAGCAGAACUGGUGACACUACAAUUACAUACUUUUCCCAAAGAAUGUCUAAAUGCAAAAACUAUUUAUAUUUCAACAAUGUCUUUGUUUGU